rnacentral:rRNA from 1 species
GACGUAGGGCGCGAGCGUUGUCCGGAUUUAUUGGGCGUAAAGAGCUCGUAGGCGGCUUGUCGCGUCGGCUGUGAAAACCCGCGGCUCAACUGUGGGCGGGCAGCUGAUACGGGCAGGCUGGAGUUCGGUAGGGGAGACUGGAAUUCCUGGUGUAGCGGUGAAAUGCGCAGAUAUCAGGAGGAACACCGGUGGCGAAGGCGGGUCUCUGGAACGCAACUGACGCUGAGACGCGAAAGCGUGGGGAGCAAACAGG